ACUCCUACGGGAGGCAGCAGUGGGGAAUCUUGCGCAAUGGGCGAAAGCCUGACGCAGCCAUGCCGCGUGGAUGAUGAAGGUCUUAGGAUUGUAAAAUCCUUUCACCGGGGACGAUAAUGACGGUACCCGGAGAAGAAGCCCCGGCUAACUUCGUGCCAGCAGCCGCGGUAAUACGAAGGGGGCUAGCGUUGCUCGGAAUUACUGGGGCGUAAAGGGCGCGUAGGCGGACAGUUAAGUUGGGGGUGAAAGCCCGGGGGCUCAACCUCGGAAUUGCCUUCAAUACUGGCUGUCUUGAGUACGGGAGAGGUGAGUGGAACUCCGAGUGUAGAGGUGAAAUUCGUAGAUAUUCGGAAGAACACCAGUGGCGAAGGCGACUCACUGGCCCGUUACUGACGCUGAGGCGCGAAAGCGUGGGGAGCAAACAGGAUUAGAUACCCUGGUAGGAUAGCG
rnacentral:rRNA from 1 species